CCCCAUUUAACCUGAAAACCACCCAUUUUCUCCUCAAAAAUCCCCCAUUUUAGGAUAAAUCAUGCAUUUUCUCCUCAAAAAUCCCCCAUUUAACAAAAAACAUCAUGCAUUUAAGCAAAAAUCACGCAUUUUCUCUUCGAAAAUGCCCCAUUUCUGCAAUAAUCACACAUUUUCUCCUCGAAAAUCCCCCAUUGAAGGGUAAAUCAUGCACUUUCUCUUCGAACAUCCCCAUUUAUCUCAAAAAUCACCCAUUUUCUUGACGAAAAUGCCCCAUUUAACCCGAAAAUCAGCCAUUUUCUCCUCGAAAAUGCCCCAUUUAAGGGAAAAUCAUGCAUUUUCUCUUCGAAAAUCCCCCAUUUGUCUCAAAAAUCACGCAUUUAAGCGAAAAUCCUUCAUUUUCUCUUCGAAAAUGCUCCCUUUAAGCAAAAUUCACCCAUUUUCCCUUCAAAAAUCCCAGAUUUAACUCGAAAAUCACCCAUUUUCCCGACGAAAAUGCCCCAUUUAAGCAAAAAUCACCCCUUUUCUCUUCAAAAAUCCCCCAUUUAAGUGAAAAUCACCCCGUUUCUCUUCAAAAAUCCCCCAUUUAAGUGAAAAUCACCCCUUUUCUCUUCGAAAACUUCCCAUUUUACCCCAAAAUCAGGCAGUUUCUCCUCGAAAGCCCCCCAUUUAAGGGUAAAUCAUGCAUUUUCUCUUCGAAAAUCCAACAUUUAGCUAAUAAAUCACGCAUUUAAGCGAAAAUCACCUGUUUUCUCUUCGAAAAUCCCCCAUUUAACCCGACAAUCACCCAUUUUCCCUUCAAAAAUCCCAGAUUUAACUCGAAAAUCACCCAUUUUCCCUUCAAAAAUCCCCAAUUAUUUGGAAAAUCACACAUUUUCUCCUCAAAAACCCCCCAUUUAAGGGAAAAUCACCCAUUUUCCCUUCAAAAAUCCCAGAUUUAACUCGAAAAUCACCCAUUUUCCCGCCGAAAAUGCCCCAUUUAAGCAAAAAUCACCCCUUUUCUCUUCAAAAACCCCCCAUUUAAGUGAAAAUCACCCCGUUUCUCUUCGAAAACUUCCCAUUUUACCCCAAAAUCACGCAUUUUCUCCUCGAAAAUCCCCCAUUUAAGGGUAAAUCAUGAAUUUUCUCUUCGAAAAUCCAACAUUUAGCUAAAAAGUCACGCAUUUAAGCGAAAAUCACCUGUUUUCUCUUCAAAAAUCCAACAUUUAACCCCAAAAUCACCCAUUUUCUCUUCAAAAUCCCCCCAUUUAAUCCGAAAAUCACCCAUUUCCCCUUCAAAAAUCCCCAAUUAUUUGGACAAUCACGAAUUUUCUCCUCAAAAAUCCCCCAUUUAAGGGAAAAUCAUGCAUUUUCCCUUCAAAAAUCCCCCAUUUAACAAAAAACAUCAUGCAUUUAAGCAAAAAUCACGCAUUUUCUCUUCGAAAAUUUCCCAUUUUACCCCAAAAUCACCCAUUUUCUCCUCGAAAAUCCCCCAUUGAAGGGUAAAUCAUGCAUUUUCUCUUCGAAAAUCCAACAUUUAGCUAAAAAAUCACGCAUUUAAUUGAAAAUCACCCGUUUUCUCUUCGAAAAUCUCCCAUUUAACCCCAAAAUCACCCAUUUUCUCUUCAAAAUUCUCCCAUUUAAUCCGAAAAUCACCCAUUUUCCCUUAAAAAAUCCCAGAUUUAACUCGAAAUUCACCCAUUUUCCCGACGAAAAUGCCCCAUUUAAGCAAAACUCACCCAUUUUCUCUUCAAAAAUCCCCCAUUUAACCCGAAAAUCACCCAUUUUCCCUUCAAAAAUCCCAGAUUUAACUCGAAAACCACCCAUUUUCCCGACGAAAAUGCCCCAUUUAAGCAAAAAUCACCCAUUUUCUCUUCGAAAAUCCCACAUUGAAGUGAAAAUCACCCCUUUUCUCUUCAAAAAUCCCCCAUUUAAGGGAAAAUCACCCCUUUUCUCUUCGAAAACUUCCCAUUUUACCCCAAAAUCACUCAGUUUCUCCUCGAAAUCCCCCAUUUAAGGGAAAAUCAUGCAUUUUCUCUUCGAAAAUCCAACAUUUAAAUAAAAAAUCACGCAUAUAAGCGAAAAUCACCCGUUUUCUCUUCGAAAAUCUCCCAUUUAACCCGAAAAUCACACAUUUUCUCUUCAAAAUUCCCCCAUUUAACCCAAAAAUCACCCAUUUUCCCUUCAAAAAUCCCCAAUUAUUUGGAAAAUCACGCAUUUUCUCCUCAAAAACACCCCAUUUAAGGGUAAAUCAUGCAUUUUCUCCUCAAAAAUCCCCCAUUUAACAAAAAACAUCAUGCAUUUAAGCAAAAAUCACGCAUUUUCUCUUCGAAAAUUUCCCAUUUUACCCCAAAAUCACACAUUUUCUCCUCGAAAAUCCCCCAUUUAAGGGUAAAUCAUGCAUUUUCUCUUCGAAAAUCCAACAUUUAGCUAAAAAAUCACGCAUUUAAGCGAAAAUCACCCGUUUUCUCUUCGAAAAUCUCCCAUUUAACCCCAAAAUCACCCAUUUUCUCUUCAAAAUUCUCCCAUUUAAUCCGAAAAUCACCCAUUUUCCCUUCAAAAAUCCCCAAUUAUUUGGAAAAUCACGCAUUUUCUCCUCAAAAACCCCCCAUUUAAGAAUAAAUCAUGCAUUUUCUCCUCAAAAAUCCCCCAUUUAACAAAAAACAUCAUGCAUUUAAGCAAAAAUCACGCAUUUUCCCUUCAAAAAUCCCCCAUUUUACCCCCAAAUCACACAUUUUCUCCUCGAAAAUCCAACAUUUAAGGGUAAAUCAUGCACUUUCUCUUCGAACAUCCCCCAUUUAUCCCAAAAAUCCAAAUACACCAUCUAAAGCGUAAACCGAACAUUUUCGCUUCAAAAAGGCCCCAUUUAAGCCAAAAAUAUCCCAUUUUCUCUUCAAAAAUCUUACAUUUUUGUAAAAAGCAACAAUUUUCUCUUCAAAAAGGUACCAUUUAAGUAAAAAUCACCCAUUUUCUCUUCAAAAUUCCCCCAAAAAACCCUGAAAAUCACCCAUUUUCUCUUCGAAAAUCCCCCAUUUAUCCCGAAAAUCACACAUUUUCUCUUACAAAAUUCCCCAUUUAAGCGAAAAUUACACAUUUUCUCUAUAAAAAUCCCCCAUUUUCUCAAAAAUCCCCCAUUUACUCCGCGAAAAUUCCCCAUUUAUCCCGAAAAUAAUGAUUUUCAUUCUGAAAGUCCCCCAUGUAACCUGAAAAUCACCCAUUUU
ensembl:lncRNA